AACAGAAAAGCUGAAAAUCUUAUUCAAAAGAGCCAUUUUUCCACUGUUUUGCCCCUUAGAGUUUCAGCAAGUUCACAAGCUGCACCUGUUGAAACAUCAACAAGCACUUCUAUUCCUUCUGAAAUGAAAGCUUGGAGUUAUACUGAUUAUGGAAGUGUUGAUGUUUUGAAGUUUGAGUCUAAUGUUUCAGUUCCUGAAAUUAAGGAAGAUCAAGUCUUGAUUAAGGUUGUUGCUGCUGCCCUUAACCCUGUUGAUUU
rnacentral:lncRNA from 1 species